ACGUCUAACGAACGCAAAGUGUUUUAGAAAAUAGAACCAUUGUUGUAGGUAAAAUUACUUAUGACUAAUAUUGGACUCUAAAAUAACAUUUGACUAUAGCGAAUAUUAAAAUAUGUGGGGGACUAUUUUGCGAUAUCACAAACCGGAAGAAGACUUACUCCGCCAAGAGCUCGUGAUGCAUCUUACGUCACACCAAAGGAGCUGAAUUUGAGUGUUGCUUUUGAUGGUUAAAGGCCUGUGAUGCAGUUAUUGAAAGUUGCAGUACAUUUAUAAUGGCAUACAUUGGGAAAUUCACAGAUAGAAGCCCCUCUAUAAGAGCGAUUCGAAGGGACGGAGCCAUGUCUGAUGUAGCUCAAGCUGGCGGACUGAUUAAUGCGUGAUUUCUAAUCAGUUGCAUUUAUUUUAAGUUCUUUAAUUAUUUAUUGUUUUGAAACUUAUCAACUUGUUAACACUGAUUCUCUCACUGUUUCUUGUAUCUGAAUGUCUUAUGUAUGAAUGUUAAAACUUUUUGUAAUGUUGUGUAAUUUUCAGUAAUGGAAUUACUAACAAUGAUAUAGUGGCUUUGCAACACCUGGUUUGAUUUGUUUAUUUGGUCACUGUUAAAAUACUGUUAAGACAAAUAAAUAUUAUGAAAAGUUUUUAAA